rfam:Talaromyces stipitatus ATCC 10500 scf_1105507295549 genomic scaffold, whole genome shotgun sequence.
GGGGGGUUGGCACAGUGGUAGCGCAUCUGAUUCCAGUAUACUUCGACUGCGAAGUACUGUGAUUCCAGAAGGUCACGCGUUCGACUCGCGUACCCCUCA